AGGGGGUGCAAUUGAGCCUACAUAGCUUUUCUACAAAGCACUAAAUUUCAGUUGGAAGAACAGGGAGUAAAAGAAGAAUUCAAGAGAGAAAAAGUAGAGAAAAACUCCCAAUUUCCAAUUUAACAUGGAAAGAGAAGAAAUAAUUUAAUUUUCACUGACAUAAAAGGUUACUUCUGGCAAGAAGGUGGAGGAUAACUCCAAGAGAAGCAGUUACCCUACCGCUAGGCACUUGAGAUGCAAGCUGGAAGUUGUGAGAUUGUUCUUCCCCCAACAAACCCAGGCUUCCCUUCUAGUCCCUCCAAGAGAGCCGCCCGCCUCGUGUGCUGCAGUAUGGGAGCAAAACAAAAAGUGGCCCCAUAGCUUUAGGCCCUCCAGUACACUGAGCCAUCAGAGCCAUCUUUCCUGCCAGCGUGCCAUGAACAUACUAUAAUCUUCUUCGGGUGUCACCACUUGAAAAGGGCUGGAAAACAUGACCUUUCAGAAGAGCAGAGCUACCCUGGCAGAGUUCUACUGGAGAGCACUGGACCAAGGUCAUCCUCUCUGGAUAAAGUCAGGUCUCCUGAUCUGCCAUCUCUAGCACGUCUUCUGGACCCAAGAUAACCAGCUUUGUAGAAAUAUUUGAUUGAUUGAUUGACUGAUUGAUUUUAAGUAAUCUCUACACCCAACGUGGGUGGCCCAGCAGAAAUAUUUUAGAUAGCCUACCUUCAUUUUUUCUUAUCAAUCUCUCCUGAGCUUCUCUCAUUGAAAAAAGAGAAGUUUAAUAUUUUUAAUAAAAAUCUUUUAACAAGAA